AACAGGAUUAGAUACCCUGGUAGUCCACGCCGUAAACGAUGUCUACUAGCCGUUGGGAGACUUGAUCUCUUAGUGGCGCAGUUAACGCGAUAAGUAGACCGCCUGGGGAGUACGGCCGCAAGGUUAAAACUCAAAUGAAUUGACGGGGGCCCGCACAAGCGGUGGAGCAUGUGGUUUAAUUCGACGCAACGCGAAGAACCUUACCAGGUCUUGACAUCCUAGAAACUUAGCAGAGAUGCUUUGGUGCCUUCGGGAAUCUAGUGACAGGUGCUGCAUGGCUGUCGUCAGCUCGUGUCGUGAGAUGUUGGGUUAAGUCCCGUAACGAGCGCAACCCUUGUCCUUAGUUGCCAGCACGUAAUGGUGGGAACUCUAAGGAGACUGCCGGUGACAAACCGGAGGAAGGUGGGGACGACGUCAAGUCAUCAUGGCCCUUACGACCUGGGCUACACACGUGCUACAAUGGCCAGUACAGAGGGCUGCAAACCCGCGAGGGGGAGCCAAUCUCACAAAGCUGGUCGUAGUCCGGAUCGCAGUCUGCAACUCGACUGCGUGAAGUUGGAAUCGCUAGUAAUCGUGAAUCAGAAUGUCACGGUGAAUACGUUCCCGGGCCUUGUACACACCGCCCGUCACACCAUGGGAGUGGGUUGCAAAAGAAGUAGCUAGGCUAACCUUCGGGAGGCCGGUUACCACUUUGUGAUUCAUGACUGGGGUGAAGUCGUAACAAGGUAGCCCUAGGGGAACCUGGGGCUGGAUCACCUCCUUA
rnacentral:rRNA from 1 species